rnacentral:rRNA from 1 species
GGGCCCGCACAAGCGGUGGAGUAUGUGGUUUAAUUCGAUGCAACGCGAAGAACCUUACCAGGGUUUGACAUCCUGCGAAUCUCUUGGAAACAGGAGAGUGCCUUCGGGAACGCAGUGACAGGUGGGUGCAUGGCUGUCGUCAGCUCGUGUCGUGAGAUGUUGGGUUAAGUCCCGCAACGAGCGCAACCCACGUCUUUAGUUGCCAGCAUUUAGUUGGGCACUCUAGAGAGACUGCCGGUGAUAAACCGGAGGAAGGUGUGGAUGACGUCAAGUCAUCAUGCCCCUUACAUCCUGGGCUACACACGUGCUACAAUGGUAUCUACAACAGGAAGCAAGACUGCGAAGUUAAG